rnacentral:rRNA from 1 species
GUCCAUGCUGUAAAACGUUGAUCACUCGACAUUGGCGAUAUACUGUCAGUGUCCUAGCGCAAGUGAUAAGUGAUCCACCUGGGGGAGUACGCCCCGCAAGGGUGAAACUCAAAGGAAUUGACGGGGGGCCCGCACAAGCGGUGGAGCAUGUGGUUUAAUUCGAUGAUACGCGAGGAACCUUACCAGGGCUCGAACGCAAGUUGACAGUCUGGGAACCAGAUCUUCUUCGGACAAUUUGCGAGGUGCUGCAUGGCUGUCGU